CAGUAGCCGCGGUAAAACGUAGGGUGCGAGCGUUAAUCGGAAUUACUGGGCGUAAAGCGUGCGCAGGCGGUUUUGUAAGACAGGCGUGAAAUCCCCGGGCUCAACCUGGGAAUGGCGCUUGUGACUGCAAAGCUAGAGUGCGGCAGAGGGGGAUGGAAUUCCGCGUGUAGCAGUGAAAUGCGUAGAUAUGCGGAGGAACACCGAUGGCGAAGGCAAUCCCCUGGGCCUGCACUGACGCUCAUGCACGAAAGCGUGGGGAGCAAACAGGAUUAGAUACCCCCGUAGUCCCUGUCUCUUAUAC
rnacentral:rRNA from 1 species